rnacentral:rRNA from 1 species
AGAGUUUGAUCAUGGCUCAGGAUGAACGCUGGCGGCAUGCCUAACACAUGCAAGUUGAACGAGAAGUUCUGGAACAAGUCUUCGGACAAGGGAAGGGAUGGAAAGUAGCGAACGGGUGAGUGACGCGUGGGCAACCAACCUUACACUGGGGGAUAACACAGAGAAAUUUGUGCUAAUACCGCAUAAGCGCACAGUACCGCAUGGUACAGUGUGAAAAACUCCGGUGGUGUAAGACGGGCCCGCGUCUGAUUAGCUAGUAGGUAGGGUAAUGGCCUACCUAGGCGACGAUACAUAGCCGACCUGAGAGGGUGAUCGGCCACACUGGGACUGAGACACGGCCCAGACUCCUACGGGAGGCAGCAGUAGGGAAUCUUCGGCAAUGGGGGGAACCCUGACCGAGCAACGCCGCGUGAGUGAAGAAGGUUUUCGGAUCGUAAAGCUCUGUUGUUAAGGAAGAACGAGUGUGAGAAUGGAAAGUUCAUACUGUGACGGUACUUAACCAGAAAGGGACGGCUAACUACGUGCCAGCAGCCGCGGU